rnacentral:rRNA from 1 species
CCUACGGGAGGCAGCAGUGAGGAAUAUUGGUCAAUGGACGAGAGUCUGAACCAGCCAAGUAGCGUGAAGGAUGACUGCCCUAUGGGUUGUAAACUUCUUUUAUAUGGGAAUAAAAUGUUCCACGUGUGGGAUUUUGUAUGUACCAUAUGAAUAAGGAUCGGCUAACUCCGUGCCAGCAGCCGCGGUAAUACGGAGGAUCCGAGCGUUAUCCGGAUUUAUUGGGUUUAAAGGGAGCGUAGGUGGAUUGUUAAGUCAGUUGUGAAAGUUUGCGGCUCAACCAUAAAAUUGCAGUUGAAACUGGCAGUCUUGAGUACAGUAGAGGUGGGCGGAAUUCGGGGUGUAGCGGUGAAAUGCUUAGAUAUCACGAAGAACUCCGAUUGCGAAGGCAGUUCACUGGACUGCAACUGACACUGAGGCUCGAAAGUGUGGGUAUCAAACAGGAUUAGAUACCCCUGUAGUC